CACGUAUUGCUGAAGCCUGGCUUGGAGAAUUUUGAGCAUUACUUUAAACUUAUUUGAGAAAUAGAUUUGAGAAAUAGAUUUUUCUUAUGGUCCACCAGAAAUCUACCUCUGAGGUAUCUUCUUGAUGAAGACUCUUCUAGAGGUUGAAAAGUUUUCAUGAAGUUAAUACCUUUAGGCUCUCAGAAAUGCUUGGGAGAUGUCAUGAAAAUGUGCCUUUUCAAAGUUUACAAAAUUCAGAUUUUGCACUAUAAUUUAUCCAAAAUUUUUAUGAGGAUUUUAGCAUUUUCCAAGUAUUGUAAUUAACUCACAACUGGGAAAUCAUUAUUUCUGUAGAUGAAUAUAAGUUGUUAAAAUGUUCUUUUGACAUUCUUCCUCACGAAGUACCUUAUUUGCAAAAAUCCCAGUGUAUAAUGACUCAUGCGUUGCAAUCUGCUUUCAUGUGGCCACGCUCCUGGAGUAGAGCAGUGACAUGUGACCCCAAACUUGAUGUGAAAAAUCCCCAAGACUGCUUUAGAAUGCAGUUAUAUACAUAUGAUGAGGAUGAAUCUCUUUUUCUCUUUUUUUCUGUCCUCCAGCAGGGUUGCCAGAGGAUGAUUUCCUUUAAAAUAAAGCUUGUCAUUUACAGUUGAACAAACACUUUUAUGUACAUUAUUAAACUAAAAUUCUCAUAUUGUAUUACUACCGUGGGAUGCAUUAUAUUUGGACAGGAGACCAGCAGAUUUCUUUUCCAAGAUUUUGUUUGGAUUCAGUUCAGUUCAGUUCAGUUCAGUUCAGUCGCUCAGUCGUGUCCGACUCUUUGCGACCCCAUGAAGCACAGCACGCCAGGCCUUCCUGUCCAUCACCAACUCCCAGAGUACACUCAGAUUCACGUCCAUCGACUCAGUGAUGCCAUCCAGCCUUCUCAUCCUCUGUUGUCCCCUUCUCCUCCU
rnacentral:lncRNA from 1 species